GACGAACGCUGGCGGCGUGCUUAACACAUGCAAGUCGAACGGAAAGGCCCUGCUUUUGUGGGGUGCUCGAGUGGCGAACGGGCGAGUAACACGUGAGUAACCUGCCCUUGACUUUGGGAUAACUUCAGGAAACUGGGGCUAAUACCGGAUAGGAGCUCCUGCUGCAUGGUGGGGGUUGGAAAGAUUCGGCGGUUGGGGAUGGACUCGCGGCGUAUCAGCUUGUUGGUGGGGUAGUGGCUUACCAAGGCUUUGACGGGUAGUCGGCCUGGGAGGGUGACCAGCGACAUUGGGACUGAGAUACGGCCCAGACUCCUACGGGAGGCAGCAGUAGGGAAUAUUGCAGAAUGGGCGGAAGCCUGAUGCAGCAACGCCGCGUGCGGGAUGACGGCCUUCGGGUUGUAAACCGCUUUCGCCUGUGACGAAGCGUGAGUGACGGUAAUGGGUAAAGAAGCACCGGCUAACUACGUG
rnacentral:rRNA from 1 species